UACGAAGGGGGGCUAGCGUUGCUCGGAAUCACUGGGCGUAAAGGGUGCGUAGGCGGGUCUUUAAGUCAGGGGUGAAAUCCUGGAGCUCAACUCCAGAACUGCCUUUGAUACUGAGGAUCUUGAGUACGGGAGAGGUGAGUGGAACUGCGAGUGUAGAGGUGAAAUUCGUAGAUAUUCGCAAGAACACCAGUGGCGAAGGCGGCUCACUGGCCCGUAACUGACGCUGAGGCACGAAAGCGUGGGGAGCAAACAGG
rnacentral:rRNA from 1 species